AGCUCCAAUAGCGUAUAUUAAAGUUGUUGCAGUUAAAACGCUCGUAGUCGGAUUUCGGGGCGGGGCGGCCGGUCUGCCGAUGGGUACGCACUGGUCGCCGCGCUCUUCUUGCCGGAGGCGCGGCCUACUCUUCACUGAGCGGGCCGUGAACUCGGCACGUUUACUUUGAAAAAAUCAGAGUGUUUCAAGCAGGCAGCUCGCUCUUGCAUGGAUUAGCAUGGGAUAAUAAAAUAGGACUUUGGUGCUAUUUUGUUGGUUUCGAACACCAGAGUAAUGAUUAACAGGGACAGUCAGGGGCACUCGUAUUCCGCCGAGAGAGGUGAAAUUCUUAGACCAGCGGAAGACGAACAACUGCGAAAGCAUUUGCCAGGGAUGUUUUCACUGAUCAAGAACGAAAGUA
rnacentral:rRNA from 1 species